rnacentral:rRNA from 1 species
UACGUAGGGGGCAAGCGUUGUCCGGAUUCACUGGGCGUAAAGCGCGUGUAGGCGGCGCGUCAAGUCGGGUGUGAAAGCCCGGGGCUCAACCCCGGGAUGCCGCUCGAAACUGGCGUGCUUGAGGACGGAAGAGGGGAGUGGAAUUCCUGGUGUAGCGGUGAAAUGCGUAGAGAUCAGGAGGAACACCCGUGGCGAAGGCGGCUCCCUGGUCCGUUUCUGACGCUGAGACGCGAAAGCGCGGGGAGCGAACGGG